UGCAAAAAGCUCCGACCGUAUGGGAAGAGCGCUUUUAUUAGACCAAAACCAAUGGGAUCGCAAGAUUCCUUUGUCUGGUGACUCUGGAUAACUUUGUGCUGAUCGCAUGGCCUUGAGCCGGCGACGUAUCUUUCAAGUGUCUGCCCUAUCAACUUUCGAUGGUAAGCGAUUUGCCUACCAUGGUUGUAACGGGUAACGGGGAAUCAGGGUUCGAUUCCGGAGAGGGAGCAUGAGAAAUGGCUACCACAUCUACGGAAGGCAGCAGGCGCGCAAAAUUACCCACUCCUAGAACGGGGAGGUAGUGACGAAAAAUACAAUACCGGACUCAAUGAGGCUCGGUAAUUGAAAUGAGUACAGUUUAAAACCCUACGAGGAUCUAUUGGAGGGCAAGUCUGGUGCCAGCAGCCGCGGUAAUUCCAGCUCCAAUAGCGUAUAUUAAAGUUGUUGUCAGUUAAAAAGCUCGUAGUUGGAUCUCGGGUACUAGCAUGUGGUACGCUUAACUGCGUUACUACAUGUCUGGUCCUAAU
rnacentral:rRNA from 1 species